GCGGUCGCUGCGUUAAACGCUCCUGUGUAAGUCUAACUACUUUUAGUGUGAAACUGCGAAUGGCUCAUUAUAUCAGUUAUAGUUUAUUUGGAAUAGUUUGUAUAUGGAUAACCGUAGUAAUUCUAGGGCUAAUACAUGUGUUUUCUUUGUUGGGUAACCAGUAAAGAAGUACUUAUUAGACAUAAAACCAUUUUAUAAAAUGGUGAGUAAUAAUAAUUGUUUGACUUUAUCGCAUGCUUUUUUGUAGUAGCGAUGUUCCUUUCAAGUUUCUGCCCUAUCAGCUUUCGAUGGUAGUGUAUUGGACUACCAUGGCAGUAACGGGUAACGAAGAAUUUGGGUUCGAUUUCGGAGAGGGAGCCUGAGAGAUGGCUACCACAUCCCAGGAAGGCAGCAGGCGCGUAAAUUACCCAAUCCUGACACAGGGAGGUAGUGACAAUAAAUCUCAAUACGAAGCCUUUGGUUUUGUAAUUGAAUUGAGAACAAUGUACAAUCGUUAUCGAUAAACAAUUGGAGGGCAAGUCUGGUGCCAGCAGCCGCGGUAAUUCCAGCUCCAAUAGCGUAUAUUAACGUUGUUGAGUUAAAAA
rnacentral:rRNA from 1 species